AACGAACGCUGGCGGCAGGCCUAACACAUGCAAGUCGAGCGCACUCUUCGGAGUGAGCGGCGGACGGGUUAGUAACGCGUGGGAAUAUACCCUUCACUACGGAAUAGCCUCGGGAAACUGAGAGUAAUACCGUAUACGCCCUUCGGGGGAAAGAUUUAUCGGUGAAGGAUUAGCCCGCGUCUGAUUAGAUAGUUGGUGGGGUAACGGCCUACCAAGUCUACGAUCAGUAGCUGGUUUGAGAGGAUGAUCAGCAACACUGGGACUGAGACACGGCCCAG
rnacentral:rRNA from 1 species